rnacentral:tRNA from 1 species
UAUUUGUUGAUGUAAAAGAGCAUAAAAAAGUUUUGAUCUUUUAAGAAAUGGUGCGAUUCCGUUACGAAUAA